GGGGAAUACUUAGACCACAGCCAGGAGAAAUGGAGGAAAAGAUGUUUUCAGGAGCCACGGUGGAGUUGAGUGACAAAAAUGGUGAGGAAAGCAGAUACUCUUCUCCAGCUUAUUGAGUGUGCCUCAUUCCUCAUUCAAGUUCCAGGCCGCAAACAUUUCCUGGGAAACUUCAUGGUGCUUCUUGCUCGAAACAAGAGGAUCUUGUGGUUUGAUAAAAUAUGUUUUGAAUACCCAAGGAGGGCCUCCUUUUGAAGCUUAUACACUGCAGUCUUUCUCAAGAUUUGAAUUUGCUCAGAGAAGAAAGGUUGUGGAUGGCUGGGGAAAGAGGAGGGCACCCAAGUGGCCUAGAAAUAUAUCAUUCCUUUAACAACUGGUACAGCCAUCUUGUCAUUGGAGCCAUAUAUAAGUUUAUGGUUUGAAGUAGAACAGAAGUAGUAUUCAUGGUUCAAUUAAGG